rnacentral:lncRNA from 1 species
GGGGUUGGGAUGUUACACGGGUGCACGGGAGCAACGUGUGGAGUCAGCUGCGGAGCCGAACUCCACCAUUCACCCUAGAGGAGGCGGUACCUGCGAUUAAGUCCCUCCGCAACAACAAACCUGGUGGGCUAGAUUGUGUACCUGCGGAAUGCUUCAAGUAUGCCAGGAAAAGGGUGGACGUACACUCCAUUAAUGUUCUUGCCCCCUUCAUUCAUCGGCUUUUCGAACACAUCCGUAGUAUGGAGGAAUACCUUAAUCAAUUUGAAGUGCCGGUUGUAGUAUCUUGGCCAUCCGCCAUGGGAUUUGCAUCCACUGAUCGGCACUUUUCUGAAGUCGUGUUAUAACAAUUGGUAUCGAGUAGAUGUCUCUGUCCCGACCUGACCUGAAUUUGAUUUCAUCUGAAGUGGUUGAGCGGAAGGUGGCAGAUCCCACGGCCGCUCAUUAUUCUGUGGGCGCUGUCAUCUUACAGGAGUGUAUGGCUUUGAGUCCAGGCCGAAAUGAUGG